UCUAGCCGCCACGCAUAUAAAGGAUUUAGAGUGAAAAACUUUGUUUUUACGGGUUAUACUUAUUGAACAUCGCAUCGUGGAACUGACUCCGAUAUCACUCGCCACUGAUGCUCGUCAAGAGGAGCACAGUGUACUAACCGUUACACCCCCCCCCUCCCCAUGAUCGUGUACAAAUAAAAAGGUCCCCCGUGUAGCCCUAGUAGACGUUUGGGGCAAGUGCUGCUAUCGAGCAGCUAUGAAGGCCGGCACGGCACGCGAGGGGGUGGGUGGCCAGCACCACGCCCGGACAACUUUGUCUUCACAGUGGCAAAGUUUACACACCGCACCAGAUAUAUUCGACGAUUCCCGAAGAAGCAAAGCUCCGCAACCGAGCACGUGGCCCGAAACGUCGGACUUCGUCCCGAGCACAACCAGAAAACACAUCGGGACCUGAGGCUGGAUUGAAAGGUGCGUGACGUCAUUUAUGGACGGCCCCUAAGAGCAAGGCGGAGGUGCAGCCCUUGCUCGUGUCACCGCUACUGGAAGGGCUUCCCGCAAUUACAGGGAACUCUUUCCAGAGCUCCCUCCAGAUUGUGUUGGAAGGCACUUUGGUCUGCUCUUCCAUGUUCGCCAGACUACUUGGAAGAAGUGAAAAGUAUCCACACUAGGGCGCCUCGGUGGCUGGGAGAUGUUAACUAUCUCGUCUGGUAUACAGGAGGUUGUGGGUUCGAUGCCCACCGCGACGCCUGCUGUAUAUUUGGAGUUUGCAUGUUCUCUCCCCGUGGUCGCGUGGAUAUGUCUCUGGAUCCUCCGGGUUUUCCCUCCACAUUAAGGAACGACACGCGUUUCGAGUGUUUGGCUGCUGUAAAUGCCCCACGUUAUGAUACGCCACUUUUUAAAUCCUUUAUAUUAAGUUCGCUUGCUUGCGUGCUUGCUUGCUUGCUUACGACCGUGCAAACCUUUCGUUUUUUAACCCACUUCCCGUGAUCCAAUCGAGCUGACAUUUUGCACGCAGACUCGUUGUGCGUGACAAUUAAUGUUCGUGAAAAUGUUUUUCCAAAAUUUUACACUGUUUAGGGAAAACAAAUUAAUUAUUUAAUUACCAAUUGUUUAAUACUGCAGACAAUCAUCUGACCCAUAGGUGGCAGCCAUCUCAAGCCAGAGGACGAGAGGACUCUAGCCGCCACGCAUAUAAAGGAUUUAGAGUGAAAAACUUUGUUUUUACGGGUUAUACUUAUUUUGAGCUGUCAUUUGUGGCCAGGUCGCUUCUGAAAAAGAACUGCGUAGCUCAGUAGGGACUUACCUGGUGUUCCCUUGCACGAGGACUCACGCACAACGGAACGUUUUGGCUUGACCGGUUUUUGUGUUUUUUGCACGAGCAGCUACACAAGCGCGACCCACCCAUAGGGUCGCCACCUUUGAAUGCAGCCGCCGUUUGGUGCAAAACGGAGACCGACAGCACACGGAUGCCCUACCCGCGACGCGGGCCAAGUUGGCAUCUUGGUGCAACGACGUGGAGUCUGGGCAAAGCUAUUUAAACGAGCGUUAUUGACGCAAUGUAUUGAGGUUUGUUGUUGUUGUUGUUUGUGCACCACUGCCAACGCAAGCUGCAGCGUUAGGUAGGUAACUCUGCACGCCAAAGAGGCGCGGGUUGGCAGCCCCGACUCUUUAUUCAGAUGCUGCUGCUGCUGGAGCCCAAAUUGCGUCGCAUUAUCAUCGCAGCAAGCGGACGUCGUGGGGCAGCUCAAAGUAUGAUCAGACGCAGCUUGCGUGAGUUGAAAUAGCUUCUUGACCCUUACCCUGAAUAAACACAUUCACAAAGUCUAAAUUUAGACGCGUUCCAUGCUCUGCCAAUUUUUAUUUUUACAAAAUAUAAAUAUUUAAUUCAGACCUUUAUCCAUUAACCGGUGUUACAUAGAUGAUAGGGGAGCAGUGGCGACGCAGUGGUUAGCACAUUGAAUUAAUUAUCGACCCAGUGGCC